CCACAAACAGAAGAGUUGCUGCACCUGCUGCUGAAAAGAGGAAGAAGGUACCUGCAGAUAUGGUGAAGAAAAUAAGGGCAGAUGAUCAUAUAACUGAAAUAUAUACGACAACAACAACAAGCAGCAGCAGCAUAAGGUCCUGAAAACCAGCUCUUGGAAGGGUCUGAAGGUUUUCAAUGCAUUCCUGCAAAAGCAAGUUUGAUUUACUGCAACUUUGAUGCUUUAUAAUACUGAACACUAUGCAAUCAUGGUUACUGCACAUACUUGAAUCUCUGCUGUUUCUUGAGUGAUAUCAGCAUCUUUUCCUCGAAGCUUUUGCAAUGCAGAUAUGGACUCUUUCUGGUGUUCCACCUUUGCCUGCAAUUUUGUUCGAUGUCAAUUAAGGCAGAUCGCCAUUUGACCUGUAUCUUAGUUAUAUGAUAUUGUGUUAGGUGGAACAAAAACCAGCCAUCUUGGAGACUCUGGAAUGAAAACAAGGCCCAGAAGUAGAACAAGGCAUGGAAGAACCCCUGCAUAAAGAUAAGUCAGCAUCUUCAUUUCUAUUUCCUUCAUAACUUUUGUAGCUUGUGUUGUAGUGAGUAUAAGGUAAGCAUGCUAAGACACGGCAUAAUUACCUACUAACACCAAUGCGCGCCAGGAAACAAGAGUGCCAAUUAUAAAUGCAACCGAGUUACCACCAACUAGCAGCAGCUGUGAAGAAGUGCAGCGUAAGUAAUUAGAUAUGGAUGAGGUCUUAAAUUUCUGCUUUCAGCAAAAAACAUGGAUAGAAAUUUGAUACUUUACCUGGUUCAGGGAUGUGAGUCCACCUCUUAGAUUCUUUGGUGCUAUUUCAGCAAUGAACACAGGUACCUGUCACAGUAGAUGAUCUCAUUGUAAGAACCUUAAAUUAAUCUAAACUACAAAGAAUCUUCUCAGUUGCUGGCCAUCCAAAAGCAAUUUCUUGUAAGUGUAUGAUGAACAAAUCCUUCUCCUUUAUUAAUGUUCAUCAAGCAGACUAAACAUAUAGCAAUUUGCUGUGUUCAUACCACAUAGGAAAGUACUCCAAUCCCAUAGCCUGUGAACAGCCUUCCAAGACACAGCAAGAAGGUUUCCUUUGAAAUGAACCAACACUUUGAUUAGCUUAUGAAGUUGCUUGCAAGCAAAUUAAUAAAGAAAGCUGCUAGUUUGGUAGCAACAACCUUGGCAAAGUAAAUGGCUAGCCAUCCAAUAAUGCAGACAACAGCAGAUAUUCUCAUGGCCUGCAUCAUACAAAAAAGAAAAAGAAUCAAUAAAUUGUAUACAAAAUUAAAUCUUGAAAUUUGAUGUAUAAGAAAAAUCUUGCUUAUUACUCCUUUGCGACCGAUAUAAUCUGAAAGAUGCCCGCUUGUGACUGCGCCAACCAUCCCCCCAGUGGUUAAUAUGGAAGCGAAGAUCGAGUACUGAAAAAUUGAUAGAGAAAGCAUGCAUAAAAAAUUAUGAUAUAAAUCUACUUCGAGUAAUCAUGAUGUACUCAAGGUAUUGUCAUUAAAGCUUAACCACAGAGACAUCAACAUUUCCAUGAUGAUGUGAUGAGCUAACAGUAAUGUGAGAAAUCCUUCCUUUUCUGCUUUUGAGUUGUUCUUUUUUCUCAUGCAACAUUUUUAAUGAUCAGUAUGUUUUGAAGUGUCAUAGCUAAACACAUGAUAUGACAUUAUGUCAACAGUGAGGCUUCAGAAGUAACCUGAGAUAGAGAGAGGCCAAUGUCCUUUGUAAUCCCUGCCUGAGUUGGUGCAGAGUAGCCAAUCUACAAGAUACAUCUUAUAGUGUUAAUUGAACUCAAGCUAACUUUUCAGAAUUGUUAUAGUCAUUACAAAUUGUUGAGUGCAUCAGAGUCUUGGUUUGAGUCUUCCUCAUUCAGACUGUGAACCACUCUUGCUUAGAUGGCCAUAUCAGAGUCUGUUUUGGCCUUUUAUGGCACCCACAAAUUUGGAGCUUGUGCAGAGUAAAGAGAAGCUUACACAUGAGCCAAACUCAAAGGAGCCACAGACUGCAACCCCAGUGCUGAGCAGAACCAUCCACAAGGAUCCCUGGCCAUCUGAUGAAGAUUCUUCUGCUUUGGCCAACUCCUGUUGUUGAAUGAGAGGCUUCCUCACCUCACUCUCAUGGGUGACAUGAAUGCUAUUCUCCACAUCCUCCAUAAUGGCCACUGCAACCCUCUCUCUAACUUCUGUCGUUUUUAACACUGUUCGCAGAAGAAAUAAAGAAGAGGUGGAUGUCAACAAUAAGGCAGUGAGUGAAGAAUCCUACUAUCUAGACAACAUGCAGUGUAUUGAAAGAGAAGACAGCAUGUCUUCCUUGGGUGCUAUAUAUAUGCUGAGGUUGGGGAGAUCAAUGGAUGAGCUCCAGAAGUCAUGUGAGUCAGUAGCUGUCACUGUGGACUGGCCAACUCAAGGAUCUUCUCAAGGUGGCAAUUUUGGGACAUGACAGAGGAACCCAUUGCUGCAGAGCUGUCCAGGAUUGCCAAAACCCAAAUACUCAUUGACCUUGCAAGAAAAUUACACUGGAUAUUAGUCUUAAAAACCUGGAUCUUGACUGGGAUAAAGGAUUUUUGUUGGGCCAGGCAGAUAAGUUUCUUUCCUUCAUGAUCUCAAUGGUUUCAAAGCUUUGUUUCCUACUUGGAACAGCACCAAAUGGAGAGGUCCAACCAAGAUGAUGGACUACUGAAUCAAUCAUGGAUCCAAAUCUGCUGGAUCUGAUGCUUGUUGAUUGGGUAUCAAUUUCUUGGAAGUUUCAGUCAAGAGAUUUGGAUUAAAAUAUUUUGUAACAAGUGUUCUAUCUUUUGCUGUCUCACCAUUUAAGAUAAUUUCCACGUGAAGCAUGCACAUAUUUCAGUUAAAAACAUUUCAAGAUGCCUUGAGAUAGCAUCAUGAAGUUAUAGAAUGAACAAUUAAUUAUGUGUCA